rfam:Oryza glumipatula chromosome 12, whole genome shotgun sequence.
AUGGGUGUCGGUUUUUAAGAAAAAACCGGCAUCUGUAAUAUAUUAUAGGUGUCAGUUAAUUAAAAACCGAGACCUAUAAUAUAUUAUAAGUGCCGGUUUUUUUUAAAACCGACACCUAU